rnacentral:rRNA from 1 species
UGGGGAAUUUUGCACAAUGGGGGAAACCCUGAUGCAGCGACGCCGCGUGAUUUAGAAGGCCUUCGGGUUGUAAAAAUCUUUUCUAUGGGAAGAAAAUGACAGUACCAUAGGAAUAAGGACUGGCUAAUUACGUGCCAGCAGCCGCGGUAAUACGUAAGGUCCGAGCGUUGUCCGGAAUCAUUGGGCGUAAAGGGUACGUAGGCGGGUAAGCAAGUUAGAAGUGAAAUCCUGUAGCUCAACUACAGUAAGCUUUUAAAACUGCUCAUCUUGAGAUAUGGAAGGGAAAGUGGAAUUCCUAGUGUAGCGGUGAAAUGCGCAGAUAUUAGGAGGAAUACCGGUGGCGAAGGCGACUUUCUGGACUUGAACUGACGCUGAGGCACGAAAGCGUGGGGAGCAAACAGG